rnacentral:rRNA from 1 species
UACAGAGGUCCCAAGCGUUGUUCGGAUUCACUGGGCGUAAAGGGUGCGUAGGCGGUCGGGUAAGUCUGAUGUGAAAUCUCACAGCUUAACUGUGAAACUGCAUUGGAUACUAUCCGGCUAGAGGAAUGGAGGGGAGACUGGAAUACUUGGUGUAGCAGUGAAAUGCGUAGAUAUCAAGUGGAACACCAGUGGCGAAGGCGAGUCUCUGGACAUUUCCUGACGCUGAGGCCCGAAAGCCAGGGGAGCAAACGGG